AAUAUUGCACAAUGGGCGCAAGCCUGAUGCAGCCAUGCCGCGUGUGUGAAGAAGGCCUUCGGGUUGUAAAGCACUUUCAGUCGUGAGGAAGGUAGUGUAGUUAAUAGCUGCAUUAUUUGACGUUAGCGACAGAAGAAGCACCGGCUAACUCCGUGCCAGCAGCCGCGGUAAUACGGAGGGUGCGAGCGUUAAUCGGAAUUACUGGGCGUAAAGCGCAUGCAGGUGGUUUGUUAAGUCAGAUGUGAAAGCCCGGGGCUCAACCUCGGAAUAGCAUUUGAAACUGGCAGACUAGAGUACUGUAGAGGGGGUAGAAUUUCAGGUGUAGCGGUGAAAAUGCGUAGAGAUCUGAAGGAAUACCGGUGGCGAAGGCGGCCCCCUGGACAGAUACUGACACUCAGAUGCGAAAGCGUGGGGAGCAAACAGGAUUAGAUACCCUGGUAG
rnacentral:rRNA from 1 species